UCCUAAGUGGCUCAGUGGUAUAAAGAAUCCACCUGCAAUGUGGAGACUCAGGUUCAAUCCCUGGGUUGGGAA
rnacentral:tRNA from 1 species